rnacentral:rRNA from 1 species
AUGAACGCUGGCGGCGUGCCUAAUACAUGCAAGUCGAGCGGUAAGGCCCCUUCGGGGGUACACGAGCGGCGGACGGCUGAGUAACGCGUAGGAACGUACCCCAAAGUGAGGGAUAAGCAUUGGAAACAGUGUCUAAUACCGCAUGUGAUCUUCGGAUUAAAGCUUCGGCGCUUUGGGAACGGCCUGCGUAAGAUUAGCUUGUUGGUGAGGUAAUGGCUCACCAAGGCGACGAUCUUUAGCUGGUCUGAGAGGAUGAUCAGCCAGACUGGGACUGAGACACGGCCCAGACUCCUACGGGAGGCAGCAGUAGGGAAUUUUCCACAAUGGACGAAAGUCUGAUGGAGCAACGCCGCGUGCAGGAUGAAGGCUCUAGGGUCGUAAACUGCUUUUAUAGGUGACGAAUAUGACGGUAGCCUAUGAAUAAGCCUCGGCUAAUUCCGU